GGUUAAAAAUUUCAUCUGUGUCUGUACAGUUGAAAAUUGAUGUAGAUGACUUAAUAACCAGAUAAUGAUAAGUGGUGUGCCAUGUGUAACUCAUGUUAAUGUACAAGGAUCAGUUUGUAAUAGUAGAAAUUGAUAAAAAUUUUAAUA
rfam:Gossypium raimondii Chr01_contig_34, whole genome shotgun sequence.